CCCGCUGAACUUAAGCAUAUCAAUAAGCGGAGGAAAAGAAACUAACAAGGAUUCCCUUAGUAACUGCGAGUGAAGAGGGAAAAGCUCAAAUUUAGAAUCUGGCAGUUUUACUGUCCGAGUUGUAAAUUAGAGAGGUGCUUUCACCAUUGGCCUGUGCAAAAGUCUCUUGGAAAAGGGCAUCAUAGAGGGUGACAAUCCCGUCUUUGGCACAGACAACCAGUGAUAUGUGAAGCGCUUUCAAAGAGUCGAGUUGUUUGGGAAUGCAGCUCUAAAUGGGUGGUAAAUUCCAUCUAAAGCUAAAUAUUGGCGAGAGACCGAUAGCGAACAAGUACCGUGAGGGAAAGAUGAAAAGAACUUUGAAAAGAGAGUUAAACAGUACGUGAAAUUGUUGAAAGGGAAACGCUUGAAGUCAGUCGUGUCCGUCAGAAAUCAACUUGACCUUUGGGUCUUGCUUACUUUCUGUUAGACAGGUCAGCAUCAAUUUUGAUCGUUGGAUAAAGGCUUUGGGAAAGUGGCAUCUCCGGGUGUGUUAUAGCCCAUUGUUCAAUAUACAAUGAUUGGGAUUGAGGAACUCAGUGUGAAUUUGGGGCAUUUGCCCACACUACGCACUUAGGAUGCUGGCAUAAUGGCUUUAAUCGACCCGUCUUGAAACACGG
rnacentral:rRNA from 1 species